rnacentral:rRNA from 1 species
UGGCACCUUGAUGUCGGCUCAUCACAUCCUGGGGCUGUAGCCGGUCCCAAGGGUUUGGCUGUUCGCCAAUUAAAGUGGUACGUGAGCUGGGUUUAGAACGUCGUGAGACAGUUCGGUCCCUAUCUGCCGUGGGCGUCGGAAGUUUGAGAAGAGCUGCUCCUAGUACGAGAGGACCGGAGUGGACGAACCUCUGGUGUUCGGGUUGUCAUGCCAAUGGCAUUGCCCGGUAGCUACGUUCGGACGGGAUAACCGCUGAAAGCAUCUAAGCGGGAAGCCUCCCUUGAGAUUAGGUAUCUUCGAACCGUCAUAGACCAUGACGUUGAUAGGCUGGGUGUGGAAGCGCAGUAAUGCG